rnacentral:rRNA from 1 species
ACGCAAUAGAUACCCGGGUAGUCCAUGCCGUAAACGUUGGGAACUAGGUGUGGGUCUCAUUCCACGAGAUCCGUGCCGCAGCUAACGCAUUAAGUUCCCCGCCUGGGGAGUACGGCCGCAAGGCUAAAACUCAAAGGAAUUGACGGGGGCCCGCACAAGCGGCGGAGCAUGCGGAUUAAUUCGAUGCAACGCGAAGAACCUUACCAAGGCUUGACAUGUACCGGAAACGUGCAGAGAUGUGCGCCCCGCAAGGUCGGUACACAGGUGGUGCAUGGUUGUCGUCAGCUCGUGUCGUGAGAUGUUGGGUUAAGUCCCGCAACGAGCGCAACCCUCGUUCUAUGUUGCCAGCACGUGAUGGUGGGGACUCAUAGGAGACUGCCGGGGUCAACUCGGAGGAAGGUGGGGAUGACGUCAAAUCAUCAUGCCCCUUAUGUCUUGGGCUUCACGCAUGCUACAAUGGCCAGUACAAAGGGCUGCGAUACCGCGAGGUGGAGCGAAUCCCAAAAAACUGGUCUCAGUUCGGAUUGGGGU